CAUGCAAGUUCGAGGGGCAGCAUUUCAGUUUGCUUGCAAACUGGAGAUGGCGACCGGCGCACGGGCUGAGUAACACGCUAUCCNACCUGCCGAUAACUCGGGGAUAGCCUUUCGAAAGAAAGAUUAAUACCCGAUGGUAUAAUCAGACCGCAUGGUCUUGUUAUUAAAGAAUUUCGGUUAUCGAUGGGGAUGCGUUCCAUUAGGCAGUUGGUGAGGUAACGGCUCACCAAACCUUCGAUGGAUAGGGGUUCUGAGAGGAAGGUCCCCCACAUUGGAACUGAGACACGGUCCAAACUCNUACGGGAGGCAGCAGUGAGGAAUAUUGGUCAAUGGGCGCAGGCCUGAACCAGCCAAGUAGCGUGAAGGAUGACUGCCCUAUGGGUUGUAAACUUCUUUUAUAUGGGAAUAAAGUUUUCCACGUGUGGAAUUUUGUAUGUACCAUAUGAAUAAGGAUCGGCUAACUCCGUGCCAGCAGCCGCGGUAAUACGGAGGAUCCGAGCGUUAUCCGGAUUUAUUGGGUUUAAAGGGAGCGUAGGUGGACAGUUAAGUCAGUUGUGAAAGUUUGCGGCUCAACCGUAAAAUUGCAGUUGAUACUGGCUGUCUUGAGUACAGUAGAGGUGGGCGGAAUUCGUGGUGUAGCGGUGAAAUGCUUAGAUAUCACGAAGAACUCCGAUUGCGAAGGCAGCUCACUGGACUGCAACUGACACUGAUGCUCGAAAGUGUGGGUAUCAAACAGGAUUAGAUACCCUGGUAGUCCACACAGUAAACGAUGAAUACUCGCUGUUUGCGAUAUACAGUAAGCGGCCAAGCGAAAGCAUUAAGUAUUCCACCUGGGGAGUACGCCGGCAACGGUGAAACUCAAAGGAAUUGACGGGGGCCCGCACAAGCGGAGGAACAUGUGGGUUAAUUCGAUGAUACGCGAGGAACCUUACCCGGGCUUAAAUUGCAUUUGAAUAUAUGGGAAACAGUAUAGCCGUAAGGCAAAUGUGAAGGUGCUGCAUGGUUGUCGUCAGCUCGUGCCGUGAGGUGUCGGCUUAAGUGCCAUAACGAGCGCAACCCUUAUCUUUAGUUACUAACAGGUCAUGCUGAGGACUCUAGAGAGACUGCCGUCGUAAGAUGUGAGGAAGGUGGGGAUGACGUCAAAUCAGCACGGCCCUUACGUCCGGGGCUACACACGUGUUACAAUGGGGGGUACAGAAGGCAGCUACCUGGUGACAGGAUGCUAAUCCCAAAAGCCUCUCUCAGUUCGGAUCGAAGUCUGCAACCCGACUUCGUGAAGCUGGAUUCGCUAGUAAUCGCGCAUCAGCCAUGGCGCGGUGAAUACGUUCCCGGGCCUUGUACACACCGCCCGUCAAGCCAUGAAAGCCGGGGGUACCUGAAGUACGUAACCGCAAGAGCUCCUAGG
rnacentral:rRNA from 1 species